UACGUAGGAUGCAAGCGUUGUCCGGAUUUACUGGGCGUAAAGCGCGCGCAGGCGGCAUGGCAAGUAAGGUGUGAAAUCUCCCUGCCUAACGGGGAGGGUGCAUUUUAGACUGCCAAGCUAGAGGACGGUAGAGGGGGGGGUAGAAUUGCUGGUGUAGCGGUGAAAUGCGUAGAGAUCAGCAGGAAUACCCGUGGCGAAGGCGGCCC
rnacentral:rRNA from 1 species